rnacentral:rRNA from 1 species
GACGAACGCUGGCGGCGUGCUUAACACAUGCAAGUCGAACGGAAAGGCCCUGCUUUUGUGGGGUGCUCGAGUGGCGAACGGGUGAGUAACACGUGAGUAACCUGCCCUUGACUUUGGGAUAACUUCAGGAAACUGGGGCUAAUACCGGAUAGGAGCUCCUGCUGCAUGGUGGGGGUUGGAAAGUUUCGGCGGUUGGGGAUGGACUCGCGGCUUAUCAGCUUGUUGGUGGGGUAGUGGCUUACCAAGGCUUUGACGGGUAGCCGGCCUGAGAGGGUGACCGGCCACAUUGGGACUGAGAUACGGCCCAGACUCCUACGGGAGGCAGCAGUGGAGAAUAUUGCACAAUGGGCGGAAGCCUGAUGCAGCAACGCCGCGUGCGGGAUGACGGCCUUCGGAUUGUAAACCGCUUUCGCCUGUGACGAAGCGUGAGUGACGGUAAUGGGUAAAGAAGCACCGGCUAACUACGUG